CUACGGGUCGCAGCAGUGGGGAAUAUUGCACAAUGGGGGAAACCCUGAUGCAGCAACGCCGCGUGGAGGAUGACGCAUUUCGGUGUGUAAACUCCUUUUAUAUGUCAAGAAAAUGACGGUAGCAUAUGAAUAAGCACCGGCUAACUCCGUGCCAGCAGCCGCGGUAAUACGGAGGGUGCAAGCGUUACUCGGAAUCACUGGGCGUAAAGGACGCGUAGGCGGGUUGGAAAGUCAGGUGUGAAAUCCUACAGCUUAACUGUAGAACUGCACUUGAAACUUCUAAUCUAGAGUAUGGGAGGGGGAGAUGGAAUUAGUGGUGUAGGGGUAAAAUCCGUAGAUAUCACUAGGAAUACCUAAAGCGAAGGCGAUCUCCUGGAACAUUACUGACGCUAAGGCGUGAAAGCGUGGGGAGCAAACAGGAUUAGAUACCCUCGUAGUC
rnacentral:rRNA from 1 species